UACGAAGGGGGCUAGCGUUGUUCGGAUUUACUAGGCGUAAAGCGCACGUAGGCGGCUAUUUAAGUCAGGGGUGAAAUCCCGGGGCUCAACCCCGGAACUGCCUUUGAUACUGGGUAUCUUUGAGUCCGGAAGAGGUGAGUGGAAUUCCGAGUGUAGAGGUGAAAUUCGUAGAUAUUCGGAGGAACACCAGUGGCGAAGGCGGCUCUCUGGUCCGGUACUGACGCUGAGGUGCGAAAGCGUGGGGAGCAAACAGG
rnacentral:rRNA from 1 species